CCUACGGGCGGCAGCAGUGAGGAAUAUUGGUCAAUGGACGAGAGUCUGAACCAGCCAAGUAGCGUGAAGGAUGACUGCCCUAUGGGUUGUAAACUUCUUUUAUAUGGGAAUAAAAUGUUCCACGUGUGGGAUUUUGUAUGUACCAUAUGAAUAAGGAUCGGCUAACUCCGUGCCAGCAGCCGCGGUAAUACGGAGGAUCCGAGCGUUAUCCGGAUUUAUUGGGUUUAAAGGGAGCGUAGGUGGAUUGUUAAGUCAGUUGUGAAAGUUUGCGGCUCAACCGUAAAAUUGCAGUUGAAACUGGCAGUCGUGAGUACAGUAGAGGUGGGCGGAAUUCGUGGUGUAGCGGUGAAAUGCUGAGAUAUCACGAAGAACUCCGAUUGCGAAGGCAGCUCACUGGACUGCAACUGACACUGAGGCUCGAAAGUGUGGGUAUCAAACAGGAUUAGAUACCCUAGUAGUC
rnacentral:rRNA from 1 species